rnacentral:lncRNA from 1 species
AGCUACAGAUCCAAAAACUCAAUACGGAGAAGAGGCAAAAGGAUUUGGAACCUCCAUAGAAUGAUUUCUUCAACUCAAAACCAAAGUCUCCGCCUCCUGUAACAGGCUUUCUCUCUCCGCCUCCGUCGACUGAAACCUCUGCCUCCAUCUCUUCUCUGUCUCCUUGUUGCCUCCUACUCGUCGCCGCCUCUUUCUCGUCGCCAUUGUUGCAAAAGCUUGAUGGGCAAUGGCCAGUUUUAGCUUUAUUGCACAUUUGGUCCCUAGAAAUUUGAAUAUAUUCAUUUCUGAUCUAAAAAUAUGUGUACAUCGAUCAAUGACCAGUUCGUCAACAUCUUCUACUUGUUUUCCUCGAAUCUCUACUCAUGGUGUGCCUACAAGAUGUUGGUGUGGCGAGGGCAUAACCGCGUUUGGUUCAUCGACGGCGGAGAAUAGGUAUCGACGAUUCUACCGAUGCGAAAUCGCGAGAGAUGUAAGUCCCUGUUUUGAUUUCGUGUUGCAGAUUAAACCAUACUAUAUCACUUAGAUUUACAGUUCAUAAUACAAUACUGACUGAAUUUUGUUUCUUUUGCGCUAGAGAAAAACUGAGAAUCAUCUAUUUAAAUGGAUUGAUGAAGCUUUGAUUGAGGAGAUUCGGAUGGUGGAUGUGAAACAUGAGAGGGUUGCUCAAGUGAUUACGAAGUUUGAAGAAAGGGUUAUGGAAAAGGUGAAGUCCGAGAUGGUUAGAGUUGAACGUCAGAUGUCCGAAAAGCUUAAAGAGAAGGUAGACUUGGAGAUUGCUAGAGUUGCACACGAGAUGAAACACAAGCUAAAGAUUGCAACGGUGGCUAUGGUAGUUGUAGGAGCAAUCGUAGGAAUAUGGACUUCUCUUCGUGUCUGAGCAAGUUCUAGUUGUCGGUUGCUUGUUGUCUGAGUUUGAUUUUCUUCAGAAUCUAUUAAGUUUGCAGUUUUGUUUUUCAUUAUUUUGACUAAUAUACUCUAUGGAUUCUUGUUUACAAUCGUUGGCUUUAUAAGCAGCUUCAGUUCAGAGUCUAUUUCAUGUUUUUUAAAGAGUAAAAGUUGCAGAGAAACAUAUUGAUCAGCUUCAGUUUACAACCUAUUGUCAAAUAUAUAACAUUGCAGAAAACGAAGGAAUGAUUGCAUAAAAUGAAGUAAACCAUAUCCAAGAACAAGAAAAUCCAGAAGCAAGAAAACCAAACAAAUCAAGUAACCAACACCAAAAUGAAAAACAAGAAAAUCGAAAACAAAGACAUGUCUAAAUAGCUCUGUCACACGUAGCCCUGUUAUGAUUCUCUUCGCCACAUCGACUGCACCUGCGCCUCUUUUUUUCUUGAGCUCCUUGCGACGAACGGAGCUUGUCUUCAACAGUCUCAUACCUGCGCUUUCUUCUCCUUCCUGCUCCUCUUCUUGAUUCAGGAGCUAGCACACUGGCAUUCCGAACAGUAUUUGGAACCACCCAACUAUCCUCAGGAACACCUAUUGGAUUGAUAGUUUCUUCAUAAGCUGUUCUCCAAUUGGAAGUCGUGUACAUGAAAUCCGUUAGUGAGGAUGGGGCGCGGCCAACUGUUAAACCAGCCUUGAUUGCGUGUCUACAUGGGAUUUUCAGUAGGUCAUAUUUCCCACAAGAGCAGGUUCUUCUGUCCAAAUCAACUAGGCAGUCGAUUGUAUCUCCACGAACCAAAAAACGAUGCUCGUUAACUGGCUGGACAAGAAACGUUUUACCCUUGUUAAUCCGUCUAUCUAUCUUUUUCUCGAUGGCAAUAGUUAAUGGCAUUGUGUGCUUCCUGCUUCGUGUGCGUCGUUCGAAAAACCAACGGGUAAGCAUUUCUCUGAUGCUAUCCAACAAAGGAAUGACUGGAUACUCUCUUGGUGAGCGCAAAGCAGAGUUUAUUGACUCAGCCGGGUUUGUCGUCCUGAUGUCAUACCUGUAUCCUUGAAACUGACAGCGAGCCCACUUUGUAACAUCUGCAUCUGUUAAAUAUUCUCCAAUAGCUGGACUAAUAUUGCACACAGCUUCGAAUCGCUUCUGAAAAUCAACAACUCUAUAAGCUUUAGAAGCUUUUGCAAUCAAUCCAACCACUCCUUUUCCUCUGUAAUGUGUGACCACAUUAUUUAACAAAUGGUGAAUACAAAUUCCAUGUUGAGAAAGAGGAUACACAUUCUCAAGCCCCUUACAAAGUGAGUUAUUUCUGUCCGACACAAACGCAAGAGCACGCUCGUCCGGAACAACAACCUUUAGUUGUCUGAAAAACCAAUUCCAUGAACGAUCAUUUUCCGAGUCGACAACAGCAAAUGCAAUAGGAUACAAGUUGGAGUUUCCAUCUAAAGCUGUCGCAACAAGUAAUACUCCUUUGUAUUUGCUCUUCAAAAAUGUCCCAUCAACAACAAGAACUUUUCGCAUGGAUGUAUGAAAUCCUCGUACUGAUUGCCCAAACGAAAGAAAGAGAAAUCUGAAUUUACCAUCGACAUCGGUUUCGUAAAAAGUGUGUGUUCCUGGAUUAGCUUCUUUCAGCAUGUGCAAGUAUUUCGGAAUUUUUCCAAAACUCUGCUCGGGAAUGCCUCUAACCAGAUUAAUCGCAUACUCACGAGCGUCCCACGCUAAUGAUUUCGAUAUCUCGCAUCCAUGUUCCAUUCUCAUAAUCUGUAUGAUAUCAUUAGCUUUCGGACCUUCUUUGACACCAUCAUACCUAUGCAUUAUUAGACUCCCAAUAGUUUUUGCAGAAGCUGUCCGACCACCAUUAUCCAUAUUUGACGCAGCACAUGUAUGAUCCGCCACAUAUUUUUUGAUGAUAAAAUAUGUAGAUCCUGAUAACCCCUCAGCACGAACACUCCACCUACACUUGUUGUCCACGCAUCGGAUGUACCAAAGUUUUCUAUCAGAAUUCACAACUUUAUAAUCGAAGUUAUUCUUCAUUGCUGACAUUUCCAAUGCUGCUUUUAACUUAGAUUUGUUUUGAAACGUUUCACCCGUCUUCACAACAUGCUUCAAAGAGAACCGAACACUUUUUCCCCUAUCCUCUUCUUUUCCACUUAAGUCAGCAUCUUCAUUUUCUUUCAAGGCGUUCAAGUUACAUUCGUCUUCACCAUCCUUGCUCGAUUGAGAAGAACUACCAAUGUCAUCUCCAGGUGAAACGGAGGGAGGCUCACGUCGGUCUCUGCCAGACGCGUUAGAUUGCUCCUUAUCAAGCUCAAUGUUGUCGUUGUUUGCAUUGAGAGGUGAAAUAGACACACACAACCUUGAAGAAGCUUUUCCACGUACAUAUGUAAGAAAAUUCUUGACUUGCCGAUCAUUCCCAAUGAUAACUGGAGGACAGUCUAUCGUACUGAUUAACUCCAUAGGUAAGUAGCUUAACUCAAGCUCGACGUCGUUUUGGUCAAUGCCAAAAUCCUCAAAAGUCGUAGUCCUUAGAUCUUCAAAGGAACUUGUCAAUUCCACAGCAAGUACUCUUCCUCCUUUUUCCUUAUCAAAAGCAAAUCCCCAUCCUUUACAGGGAUCAAAUUUCCACACCCCACAAGAGGCAUAGAUAUGCAUGUUCUUCAACAAGGGAUUCAAAUUUUUGGGGUGGUUUCAAAAUUAAUCAAGAAGUUGUGAAGAAGAAGAAGGGAAAUCACGGUUAUUUUUUAGAAAACAUAACUUUAGGAAACACGUAAAAUUUAGAAAAUUAAAGAUUUACAGAAUAUUUCUCAACAGAUUUUGGAGAGAUUUAAGGAAUAUUUUCGAAAAUAAUUCGAAUUUGGCAGAACAUGCAUUCUGCUGCCCGUAGCUUUGAUAUAUGAUGGUAGAUACGGCGGCAGAAUGUAUAAUCCUACAGAGAUAGGUUAUAGUAUCUUAGUAGAUAACGAAAUAUUACCGUGGUAGAGGAUUAGUAACUGGCAGAUUCUAUGAUUCCGGGACAGUAGUUAUAUAGGAGACACUAGUUCAUGAAAUCUUUCGGGGUUCAGAUCGUAAGCAAAACCGUAACCUUUUCUUUCUACGGUAGUAGACAUAUUACGAAACCGUAGACUUUACUAUCUUCAUGCGUCAGAUACCUAUGUAGUUAACCGAAACUACGAUCUACAUAUCCGUAGUUAGUAGAUUUUGUUUUCUGCGAUCCGAAGAUCAAAAUAUGAAAUUGUGUUACACUAAUAUUUAGUCAGCCAAAUUAUUUUUCAUAUGAUUGUUUCAUGUUUAUGUACAUUUUGAAUAAUUUUUCAUAUUUUUCUGACUCUUAAAAUAAUUGAUAUGAUUUUUUGAAGUUGGCCAGGGGCAUCUAUGUCCAAAUCCGACCAAAAAAGGAUUUAUGCUAUAGGGACAAUGUAGUUGAUUUUCUGUGGUGUUUUGGCAAUUUUUUCAAAAAUUAAACGCACCUAAUUCAUUCUUCUUUUGGUGUAAUCCUAAUUCAUUCUUAUCUUCUAUCAUUUAUAAAAUUAAUAGUAGCUAGAGCUUAAUGGCUCUUAUAUCUUUAAAUAUACAUGCAUACAUUCAGAUCCCUGCUAAUAUAUAUGAGAUCUUAUUAUUGACAUGAAAAUGUCAAAUGUUUUGGUAUCAAUUUUUGAAUUGAUCACUACCUGAGCCUUUCUAACUUUCAUGUUACUAAGCAGUCAUUGAACAAAGCAUUAACGAUAGAUACAGUUAAUUUAUCCCCUAAUGACAUGGUCUUAAUUGGUAAACCUGCUUCCCCGUUUACCACUCUGACUUGUAGUUGAAACAAAAAGGUUAAAGGUGGUGCAAAUAGAUCGUAGAACACAUGAUUAGAACUUGAAAAAUCAUAGAUAGUUUAUAGUCCCCCAUUGUUGAUUUCUUGUAUGUAAAUUUUUAUAUUAUCUCUUACUUUUUUUCUAAUUUUCAAAGUUACAAAAUUAUUAAUGUCUUUCCUGGACCGUUUGUAUAAAAAAUAUUAUUAAAAUCACCCUUUCAGUAAAUUGUAGUCUUUCUUACUUCUAGUUGAUGUUUUGAGAAUUUAUCGAGUUUCACAAAAAAAUAUCAGUCCGAAAAUGUUGAGCCAAUAAAUAAAGUAAUGGCCGGGUGUUCUUUUUACCAAUACUGCUUUCUACUCAACACUGGUCAAAAUUUCUUCGUGUAUAAAUAAAUAGGAUUAAAAAAAUUUAUAAUAAUUAGGCCUUAAUUAAACUUUGGUUGGUAACUUCCGUUCAUGUUUUGUCUUCUAAGUACACUGGGUUAUUUCAAUAACGAAUGGAGUUUUAAGUUAAUCAUGUAAGAAAUAUCGGUACAGAAAUAAAAAUUUAUUAGAAUUCAGACCGACAUCCACAUGGAUAUAUAUAUAUAAGAUUAUAAUAGAUAUUUGUAAUCUAAGAAAACGUAUCUUCUAAAUAGAAUUUGACUGGUAUGAUUUGUAUGUCUCAGUCUGUACAUAUAACAACAUAAAUAAGAGUUAUUAACACUCAAACGCAGUUUUGAUGUUUUUAUUACAAGAAAAGACAGUUUCAACUACUGAGGUACUUUUUUAAAACUAAAACCAAAUAAUUGCUAACUAAAAUAAUUUAUGUGACUAAUAUGGUCCCACACUUACAACUUGCAUUACCUCUCUCCUCUCUCUAUCUGAUCAUCACUAUAUUUUCUUUUUCCUUUUGGAAAAUAUGUUCGACUUCUUCUUUUUUUACAUGUAACCUAUAUUUUUUUUUGCAAAUUUUUACUUUUCACCAUCAUAAUUUUUUCUCUUUUACUUUAUGUAUCACUAAUUUACUUUUUUUUUGUAGAGCUACAGAUCCAAAAACUCAAUACGGAGAAGAGGCAAAAGGAUUUGGAACCUCCAUAGAAUGAUUUCUUCAACUCAAAACCAAAGUCUCCGCCUCCUGUAACAGGCUUUCUCUCUCCGCCUCCGUCGACUGAAACCUCUGCCUCCAUCUCUUCUCUGUCUCCUUGUUGCCUCCUACUCGUCGCCGCCUCUUUCUCGUCG